AGAGUUUGAUCCUGGCUCAGAUUGAACGCUGGCGGCAUGCCUUACACAUGCAAGUCGAACGGCAGCACGGGAGCAAUCCUGGUGGCGAGUGGCGAACGGGUGAGUAAUAUAUCGGAACGUGCCCAGUCGUGGGGGAUAACGCAGCGAAAGCUGUGCUAAUACCGCAUACGAUCUACGGAUGAAAGCGGGGGAUCGCAAGACCUCGCGCGAUUGGAGCGGCCGAUAUCAGAUUAGCUAGUUGGUGGGGUAAAAGCCCACCAAGGCGACGAUCUGUAGCUGGUCUGAGAGGACGACCAGCCACACUGGAACUGAGACACGGUCCAGACUCCUACGGGAGGCAGCAGUGGGGGAUUUUGGACAAUGGGCGAAAGCCUGAUCCA
rnacentral:rRNA from 1 species